UGUCAAAGAUGGAUUCGGGAGCCAUCCAUUUCAGAGGAAGUCGAGUCUGGAAGAAGGCAAGGCAGGCUUGAGAAGAAGGUCAUGAAAACAAAGCAUCCAACUCAGAAGAAGAAGAAAAAUAGUAAGGAGAUAAGCUGACCUUCCUGGAAGACAAAAACUCCAUGCCUCUGGCCACUUGAAAACUGUAAGAAAUCAGAUCCUCCAUAGUGAUGGGCUGCUUGUAGAAAUCAUCAGAAUCUGCAAAGCAUUAGAACUGUAAUUGUUUGUAAUGGCUCUUAUUAUUCCACUAAAUCCCAGUUUAUUAGAACAACAUUAGCAAAACAUAAAACAAACUAACAAGUG